ACCACUAUCAAAUUAUUGCGAUUUUACAUCACUUCCGUAGACCCUCACAAAAAGACAGUUCUCCGAUUCACUUUGUGAAUUAAUAUGAUCAUCAUUGAUCAUAAACAAAUUAUUGCGUAGUUCGGGGAUUUUGUCGUUGCCUUUUGGUUUAUAAACUCGGUUUUGUGUUGGUGCCUUAAUGGGUAUUUGGUGGUUUCUUUCAGUAAUUGCUCAAAACAGAUAUCUAUAUUCUUUACUCAUAUGGAACCUGAUAUUUUCAAUAGAAACAUCUAGUUGAAGAGCACAGGUGGAUGGUGGACCAUAGGUGCAAGAACAGGUUUGCAGAAAAGUACUUAGCUCGAACUGCCCUUUCUUCUUGCAGUUUUAUUUUUAAUUUUUGCAGACAAAACCUUGUAACUUUUAUGUUGUAUACUGCAGUAGUCUACAAAAGGGUUCUGGAAUCGGAGAUAGUUUGCGUAGUGGCGGAAUUUCAUUGAUGGUUAGAGGUGGGAUUGGGAUGCUUUAGUUGGGGUAGCUUUAGGUGGGAUAUCUUUGAAGUUAAAGCGGUAUAUAAGUUGAACAGCCCGAUGGUAUGGCCGUUGGGGUCUUCCUUCGUUACAACUUUUGUGCAACGAUAUUUGAAGAUAAGCAUCUACUAUAUGCUUCUUGAGCUAUUGUAGAUAUUUGGAAUUCUUUGUCGAAAUCCCCGUUCCAAUAGUGUGCUGCAAAUGAUUGUCUUUGUUUUUAGGUUCUUUGGGUGGGGUUCUCGAAUUGGGAACUAGUGAGCUGUUUGAUAGAAUAUCGUGAGUGAUAAGAAUUUUGUGGGUUUUCCUCCUUCUGGAGUAAGGUGAGAGACCAUACCGUAAGCACUAAGAAAUUUAGAACUUUGGUUUGAGUCUGGAGGAUCUUAGUCAGCUGAUAUGGGUGGCAUCAAGACUGUCGUUUGGUUUAGGAGGGACCUCAGAAUAGAGGAUAAUCCCGCCUUAGCUGCAGCUGCUAGGGAUGGUUCUGUUUUUCCUGUCUAUAUAUGGUGCCCUAAAGGGGAAGGACAAUUUUAUCCCAGCCGAGUUUCAAGGUGGUGGCUGAAGCAAUCUCUUGCCCACUUGGAACGGUCCCUGAAGUCCCUUGGGGCUGAGCUUAUGCUGAUCAGAACUGACAGUACUCUUGCCAGUCUUUUCGAGUGCAUCAAAGCGGUUGGGGCAACAAAAGUAGUAUUCAACCAUCUUUAUGGUAUUUUCUGGUUCCUUUCUUCAAAGCAGCUCGACUCCACUGAUAUAAACUUUAAUCGACUAAAUAAAUUUAGUGAGCAUAUCAACUAUGACCUUAUUCGUUGUUAAAUUAUCAAUUGUUAAGCUAAUAGGAAACAAUUUCAUUUAUGUUCUAACACUCGCCGUCACACGUGGUCUAAACUCCCCUUUUAUAAUUAAAUUAUCAUAAGCUAAUAGGAAGCAAGUGAAUCAAUUAUUUCAUUUAUGUUCUAACACUCGCUGUCUUGCGUGGGCUAAACUCCUAUUUUAUAAGCGGAACAUAACACCUAAGAUAUUCAAUUUAUAACGGGGAGGUUAGGUGUGUUGUCGUAUAUCAUACUCAGGACUUAAGUUUUGGCACCAUCUUAUCACUACUAAAAGCCCAUGUUGAUGAGAAUAAGUGAAGUUAAGCAUUUAAUAUAUAUUCUAACAUUCUUUUGUCGCUCAUGCUUAUAUGUCCAUUGUACUUGAAUGGUAUAUAUUCAGUGGCAAACUAAUCCAUGUAUGAAUCUUUCAGCUUGUUAUAGCUGUUAUUCUUUAAGUUUAUAACUCGGUCACAUGAUUACUACAUCGAUAUAAGGUAUGGGUGUCAAAGAGAUAAAUAAACAAGUCUGUGAACUUGUAAAACUCUAGUGGCAGCUACAGAAAAUCUGUAAAAAUCCUAUGAAUUAGAGUUGUCUGGUCUAAAACAGAGGGUCACCGUUUUUGUUGAAAAGAGAGAGAGAAAGAGGUUAACGGCUUAAUUUUGAUGAAUUCUCUACUAACUAUGUUAUUUACAAGAAUACUUAAAGUAUAUAGCUUAUGUUUUUCUAAGGAAGAGUUUCAGAAGAUUAUUUACUUGAAGUUUUAGGUUUGAUGGAUUUUAUAGUGGGCUUUCCAAGGACUUCAGCUGGAAAUAAUACUAUCUAAGUAAUAGUUGAUUGUCUGACGAGAAAUGCUCACUUUAUACCUAUUAAGAAUACAGAUUCUCUAAAAAAAUUGACGAUAAUUUAUAUAGUAGAUAUUGUCAGAUUGCAUGGAGUGCCUAAAACGAUCGUGUUAGAUAGAGACUUUUGUUUUAAUCACCUAAUUCUUAACUAAUCCCAUUGAUGCUCUAGGUCUAUCUUACCCGUAAUUGAUUUGUGAUAGUUUGUAUAAAAAUUUUGACAAAAAAAUCCAUCUCUAUUUUUAAUGAAGACCAAGAAAUGAAGGAGUGGUUGUAUGGAUUUAUGAUCAGGUGUAUAUAAAUGAAGAUUAAAUAUUAUAUAA